AAUGAAUACAAAGCCGCGGUCUGGGUGCCGCCUCGGCCGCGGCCGCUCUCCCGCGCUCCUUUGCCAGAAGAAAAGAUUGAUCUCUGGGCUGGUGAACAUAAUCUCUGUCCCAGUCAGAAAAGGAGAGAGGAAAUUAGCAGAGCGAUUGGUGGAGAAUGAUAUCUGUCAAAAGAAACACUUGGAGAGCACUGAGUUUAGUAAUAGGUGACUGCCGGAAAAAAGGGAACUUUGAAUAUUGUCAAGAACAGGAGGCAUGAGCCCGGAACGCGCUUGCUUUUAGGAGACAGCCACUUUCUGUGUGGUACGCUGGAUUCAAGGAUGCCUGAUCGUACUGAGAAGCACUCCACAAUGCCAGACUCACCUGUGGAUGUGAAGACGCAAUCUAGGCUGACUCCUCCAACAAUGCCACCUCCCCCAACUACUCAAGGAGCUCCAAGAACCAGUUCAUUUACACCGACAACGUUAACUAAUGGCACGAGCCAUUCUCCUACAGCCUUGAAUGGCGCCCCCUCACCACCCAAUGGCUUCAGCAAUGGGCCUUCCUCUUCUUCCUCCU
rnacentral:lncRNA from 1 species